CCUACGGGAGGCUGCAGUGAGGAAUAUUGGUCAAUGGUCGGGAGACUGAACCAGCCAAGCCGCGUGAGGGAUGAAGGUACAGAGUAUCGUAAACCUCUUUUGUCAGGGAACAAAGGCGGGGACGUGUCCCCGGAUGAGUGUACCUGAAGAAAAAGCAUCGGCUAACUCCGUGCCAGCAGCCGCGGUAAUACGGAGGAUGCGAGCGUUAUCCGGAUUUAUGGGGUUUAAAGGGUGCGCAGGCGGUCUGUUAAGUCAGCGGUCAAAGCCCGGGGCUCAACCCCGGCCCGCCGUUGAAACUGGCAGUCUCGAGUUGGAGAGAAGUAGGCGGAAUGCGCGGUGUAGCGGUGAAAUGCAUAGAUAUCGCGCAGAACUCCGAUUGCGAAGGCAGCAUGCCGGCUCCACACUGACGCUGAGGCACGAAAGCGUGGGUAUCGAACAGGAUUAGAUACCCGUGUAGUC
rnacentral:rRNA from 1 species